UGAAAAAUGAGACAAAACUAUUUCUUUUGCUCCUUGAUAUUAUUGAAUUCAGUUUCACAGAAUUCAGUUUUCUUUCCGUCUCGUUUGAAAAGAGCGCUUUACUCAGGUUGAAAGUUGUUUUUGGGCCAAUAUUCUAGUCCUUUGUUAGGAGCCAAAACUUUUUCAAAUUUUGUCAGUUUUACUUUUGUUUUCAGUUGAAACAACUUGUUCUUCCACCUUUUUUCCUGUUAAGAGAUUCAUACUCAAAUUGAUAUUAUUUGUUUAAAAUGGAACAACACAAUGAUAAUUCUGAUAAAACAACAUUCAAAGUAGACUUUCUAGGUGAAUGUCAUGAAGUAGUCAUUGAUUGGAAUGAUGAUAAAUACAAAUACAAAUACAAAAGAUUUCAAUUAUUCGAACUGCUUGAAUCAAUAACUGGAGUACCGCGUGAAUUAAACAUGGGAAUUAUUCUUUACCAGGCGGAGAAUAGACAGCCACGUUAUCAUACCAUUUCCAUCUUUUACAUUUCAGACUACCCUAAUGAUGAGGAGAUCUGUGAUUCAAUUAGAGAUGCUGGACGUUUUCGUCUCACUUUUGGGGCAACUUAUGAUUUCAAGCAACCUUCUAUUUUUUAUGCUCUAGUACCUGAAAGUUCGGAGCCAGGAGGAGGAUGCAGUUUUCAUUUCUGUCGAUAUAAGCAUACUAAGAGUUUCUUUAACAAGGUGAAGGAUAUCAUCACUAACGAGAAAUUGAAUGCAAAAAUUGCGUCUGCUAUCCAAUCAUUAAGAGAUGAUGGCGAUUAUGUUGAGGUUCUCAGACAAUUCAAUGUUCUGCAAUAUUUCCGUUCAAUGUGUGAUUAUCAUUAUACGAGGAGAAUUGUAAAUGAAGAUCAAAGACUUGUUUCUGGCAGAAAACACCCUUAUUUGAGGACACGCGGCUAAUUGCACCAACAAGAAGAGUAAACUCUUCAAUAAACUUAAAUAAAUGGAUAAAUAAAAUGAUGAGUUGAUGAGAAGUUGAGUUAAAAUUAUUAAUAUUUAUUACUUGGUAUUAUUGCAUUCAUUUUCUCAGAAUUCACAGUUUCUUUCAGUCUCGUUUGAAAAGAGCGCUUCGCUCAGGUAUAAACUUGUUUUUAGAACCAAAAUCUUAUUACUUUGUUAGGUACUGAAACUUUUUCAAAUUUUGUCAGUUUACUUUUGUUCCAGUUGAAACAACUAGUUCUAUGAUAUUAUUCGUGUUAAAAUGGAACAACAGAAUGAUAAUUCUGAUAAAACUACAUUCAAAGUAGACUUUCUAGGUGAAUAUCAUGAUGUAGUCAUUGAUUGGAAUGAUGAUAAAUAUAAACUCAAAGGGAUACAAUUAUUCGAACAGCUUGAAUCAAUAACUGGAGUACCGCGUGAAUUUAACUCCCAUAUGUUUCUGCAGUAUCACCAGGUGGAAGAUGAGGAGCCCCUUUAUCAUUUCAUUUACAGCCAUGGAGAUUCCAAUAUUUCCCCUAAUAAGGAGGAGAUCUGUGAUUCAAUCAGAAAUGCUGAAGGACGUUUUCAUCUCGCUUAUCAGGCUAAUUAUGGGUUUAAGGGAUCUUCUAUUUGUUAUGUUCUAGUACCUGAAAGUUCGGUACCUGAAGGAGAAUGCAGUUUUCAUUUCUGUCGAUAUAUAAAUACUAAAAGAUUCUUUAACAAGGUGAAGGAUAUCAUCACUAACGAGAAAUUGAACGCAAAAAUUGCGUCUGCUAUCCAAGCAUCAAGAGAUCCUGCUAAUGAGAAUGAUAUUCUUAGACAAUUCGAUGUUCUAAAAUAUUUCCAUUCUAUGUGUGACGAUCUUUAUACGAGGCAAUACAUGCAUGGAGAUGAACAAUUAAGACGUAUGUUUUGUCAAAAAAACCUUUACUUGAGAACUCGUGGCUGAUUGAACCACCAAGAAGAGUCUCUUCAAUAAAUUAAAAUAGAAUAAUAAAUAAAUGAUAAAACUAGACAAAUCUAUUAUUUUUUUCAUUUUCAUUGCAUUCAGUUUCACAGAAUUCAGUUUUAUUUCCGUCUCGUUUGAAAAGAGCGCUUUGCUCAGGUUGAAACUUGUUUUUGGGCCAAUAUCUUAGUACUUUGUUAGGAACAAAAACUUUUUCAAAUUUUGUCAGUUUUACUUUUGUUUUCCGUUGAAACAACUUGUUCUUCCACCUUUUUCCUAUUCAAAGAUUCAUAAACAUAUUGAUAUUAUUUGUUUAAAAUGGAGCAACAGAAUGAUAAUUCUGAUAAAACAACAUUCAAAGUAGAGUUUCUAGGUGAAUAUCAUGACUUAGUCAUUGAUUGGAAUGAUGAUAAAUAUAUUUACAAAGCGAGACAAUUAUUCAAACAGCUUGAAUCAAUUACUGGAGUACCGUGUAAAUUCAACCCCGAAAUUCUUCUGCAUCAUUUCCAGGUGGAAGAUGAGACUCCACAUUAUUACAACAUUUACAGCUUUGUAGAUUCCAAUAUUUCCCCUAAUAAGACGAUGAUUUGUGAUUCAAUUAGAAAUGCUGAAGGACGUUUUCAUCUCGCUUAUAAUGCUGUUUAUCCACAUAUUGGUUAUUUUCUAGUACCUGAAAGUUCGGUGCCAGAAGGAGAAUGCAGUUUUUAUUUCUGUCGACAUAAAAAUACUAAAAGUUUCUUUAACAAGUUGAAGGAUAUCAUCACUAACGAUGAAUUGAACGCAAAAAUUGCGUCUGCUUUCCAAUCAAGAGAAUCCAAUUUUGAUGAGAUUCUCAGACAAUUCGAUGUUCUAAAAUAUUUCCGUUCUAUUUGUGAUGAUCUUUAUACGAGAAGAUUUGUAAAUGAAGAAGAAAGACGUAUUUUUUGUCAAAGAAACCUUUAUUUGAGAACUCGCGGCUGAUUGGACCAACAAGAAGAGUCUUUUCAAUAACUUAAAUAAAUGAAUAAAUAAAAUGAUGAAAUUUGAGAUAAAAUUAUUAUAUAAUUUAUUACUUUAUA